CACACAAGCCCCAUGCAGUAUGCACACGUACACAGUACAGUGCUAGACGCUCAAGUAUCCACUGCAGCAUGUAGACUAGAUCUACUGUUGAUUGAAGCAUAGAUAGUAGAAGAAGUAAGGGAGUAGUCUCUCGAAACAUGUCUGUCGAUUCCUCUACUAUAUAUCUAUAAUUGAAGCAACAAUUUAAGAAAGGUAUGGAACAGCUGGUCCAGCAGGGGCGGAUCCAGGGGUGAUUUUGAGGGGCUGAAGCCCCCCCCUUUUGAAAAAACUACCAUGUGUUGUAGUCUGACUCUACAACAAUUUUGCCACCAAUUAUGCAUCUGUAGACUCACUUGAAAUCACUUGAGAGAUGCUAGACAACAGCUACUAGGAGUAUAAAGGAUCUAGGGUAGCUAGCUGGACGUACCUAGCUAGCUAGCUAGCUGUACGUACGUACGUACAUCUGAUCAGUACAGUAUCACCAUAGUAUUAAAAGUAAGUGCAGAGGUCAACGUAUUCUACUCAUUAAUAUGAAAGUUCAAAGGUCAAAUCUUGCAAAAAAAAUUCGCCUCCGGCGAGGCUGCGUCCCUUUCUAGCUAGUCUAGCCCCCCCCUUUUGUUUUUCCUGGAUGCGCCCCUGUCCAGGUCUCCUUGGUGUCGUCCUUUCACUCCCUACACAAAGUACAAGUGUUUAAACAUUCUCGGUAUGGCUCCGUUGGUAUCAGGUAAACCUGAAAAUGCAUUCGUUGGUCCAUUAAAGUUCCUAUUUCAGUGGGUGGACCAACGGGCUGGAUAACAAGCAAGAAAAUAGUUUACUUACAUUGUACUUUGCAUGCAUUCUUUUUUAUAGCCGUAUCCGAGCUCAUUUAAAAGCUUGAUGUCUUCGUUGGCAUCAGGAAAACCUGCUCGUUAGUCCAUACAGGAGGCCGUUUCUGGAAACUAACGGCCUGGACGACAAGUAAAAAUGCAUGCACUUUGAAUGCAUUCUGUGUUCCCCAGUUUGGUGUGAUUAUGAGCUCAUUUCAAAGCUUGGUGUCUCCGUUGGCAUCAUUAUAAACUGGAAAUCCUGCUUGUUGGUCUAUGAGGUUUCCUGUUUCUGGAAACUGGAUAGACCAACGGCCUGAACGACAAGUAAAAAAAUAGUUCGCGCACUUUGAAUGUAUUCUUUUAAUGUGUUCUCCAGUUUGGUGUGAUUAUGAGCUCAUUUCAAAGCUUGGUGUCUCCGUUGCAUCAUUAUAAACUGGAAAUCCUGCUUGUUGGUCUAUGAGGUUUCCUGUUUCUGGAAACUGGAUAGACCAACGGCCUGGACGAAUAGUUCGCACACUUAGAAUGUAUUCUUUUUAAUGUGUUCUCCAGUUUGGUGUGAGCAAGCUUGCAUGGUGUCUCCGUUGGCAUCAUUAAACUGGAAAACCUGCUCGUUGGUCCAUAUAAGGUUUCAUGUUUCUGGAAACUGGGUGAACAAUUAAUGGCCUGAACGACAAGUAAGAAAAUAGUUCACGCACUUUCUUUUAAUGUGUUCCAGGUUGGUGUGAGCUUCAAAGCUUGCAUGGUGUCUCCGUUGGCAUCUUUAAACUAGAAAACCUGCUCGUUGGUCCAUAAGAUUUCCUGCUUCUGGAAACUAGGUGGACCAACGGCCUGGACGACAAGUAAGAAAUAGUUCACGCAGCUUGAAUGCAAUGUGUUCCAGGUUGGUGUCAGCUCAUUUCAAAGCUUAGUGUCUCUUGUUUGCAUCAAUUAAGGAAACUAGGUGGACCAACGGCCUGGACGACAAUUGGUUGUCAGAGCUUGGUGGCUCUCCGUUGGCAUCAUGCAGUUAUACUAAUAAACCUGGACGUUGGCCCAUAACCUUUUCUAUUUUGGAAACUGGGUGGACCAACGGCCUGGACGACACUGACAGGUGGGUAUCAGCUCAUUUCAAAUGCUGCAUGCAUGGUGGCUUUGUUGGAAACUCGAAAACCUGUUCCCUGCAUGGUCUAUCAGAAUAUCAUAUCCAGCCGGAAAUUGGAUAGACAACAGCCUAUACGACAGCUGCAUCUACAGACUCUAUUAUACAUCAGACUGAAUGAAAGCCUCACUGCGACUCUGUAUGCUGAAAUCUACAAUGACAUUUAAGGAUUCUGUUUCCGUGUAGAGUAAGAGGCUGGCACUGGAUUCUUGUUGCUGUCAAUCUCCCAAAGAAAACUGUCUAUGUUCUUGACUCCCAGUCGCCAAUUCUCUCACCUUUUACUGAGCAGGCAACAUGCAUGCACAAGACAUUAAUCAAUUCUUAAGCAUGUGCAUUCGAUCACCUGCAAAGAUGGAUAUACAGUGUGUGAAGGUGGCCGCUCAGGAUGGAGUUGAAUGUGGCAUUCAUGUGAUACACAAUAAUUAUUAUGACAAUGGUCAAGUUUUCUGGACUACCUGCAUCAAAGCACCUGCAAAAGUCUGUAAACACUGCUGAAUUACGUGGAUUGAUCCUGUUAUCAUGCUACUCCACUCAACAAAGCCAAAAGACAUCUCACGGCGUCAGAAGGAGUAAAAGGGUUGCUAAUACAGAUCUGCAGACUGAUGAUGAUGCCAGUGUAUCUGUUAAGAAGACAGCAAAAUCGAAGCCUUAACUGCUAUUUUUACUUAACAUUAAUUGUAUAGCUUGUAGUAUAGCUCAGAAUGUUUAUUUUUUAUUGUAUAUAAUUAUGUGCAAUAAUAUAGUUACUAGUUUCCCUCAUAUAGUUUCUCAUCUGUUAUUCCCCCAUGCAUAUAAUAUGAUUGUUUUGUGUGUAAUUUCUUCAGUCACCCCUUAUUGUAACGCAUGCAUGAUAAGUCAGAACAAGUGACGCCACA